rnacentral:lncRNA from 1 species
GGGGGUGCCUACUUUGGCACCUUGACUGUUGGUUGCAUUUGGAUACUUGUCUAUUUUUGGUGUCAAGCAGCUUAGGUUACCAUAUUAACCCACCCAAAGUGGUUGAGAGCUAGCCUGGCACUAGCUCAACUUAAUCAAGUGGGUCACCACUCCCUACAACCCUUUUGCUUUCAUAUCUGCUUCCUUCCUAGUUAUCUCUCUCUCUUCUGCCUUC